rnacentral:rRNA from 2 species
GCAUGAAGCCGGAAUCGCUAGUAAUCGCGGAUCAGCACGCCGCGGUGAAUACGUUCCCGGGCCUUGUACACACCGCCCGUCACACCACGAGAGUUUGUAACACCCGAAGUCGGUGAGGUAACCUUUUUGGAGCCAGCCGCCUAAGGUGGGAUAGAUGAUUGGGGUGAAGUCGUAACAAGGUAGCCGUAUCGGAAGGUGCGGCUGGAUCACCUCCUUU